UCAGUUGUAGUAUAGAGGUUUGAGUGUUGGACUGGGACUCCAGGGGAUCAGAGUUCAAAUCCCUGCUCAGCUGUG